UGAAAGACCUUUGCAAUUGAAUGUCAAAAUCUAUACUUUUACUAUGAGGGGGAUUCUGGAUGCUUGUUAAUGGUCAUGGCAUCGUCAUCUAAGCCUCAGCUAAUAAGUCUGCUUGCUCUUCUUCUCAUCUUCCUCCACCUCUCCCUUCUUUCCAUUGUGCAUGCAGACCCUCACGGCACUUCUCUCUCCUCAGCAUCUCAUACAGUUCGAUAAUUACGUUUUUGCCCUUGUAUUAUAUUCCGAAAUUCUGAAUACUGCAUUUUUUUCCCCUUCUGAUAUUGCAGAAAGUGAUCUUUGUAAUUACGAUGACGAUUCCGAUCUGGAUGAUGUUGCUCCAAACAAGUACAAGCUCGACGACUGCGUUUGAGUAGCAGGGAAUGCAAGGACACAUGGGACUGCGGCCCUGUGUGCAGAGACAUGGGAAUAUUGAACCCUAAUGCCAUCAAAUGUGUUGUUCCCAACCAAGCUGGUGGAACUGGAAAACUUUGCUGUUGUCUUCCUCCUACUGAACCCAAUUAGAUACCUACCUUAAUCACCUUUUUACAUCAAAACCCUGACUUCAACGUUGUUUUGUAAUAAAGAUAAUUAAGGUGAGGAUUUUCAUUUCUCCUAGAUGCUUAAUUUAUUUGAAUUUGCAUGAGUAUGUAUUAACUUGCAAAAGAUUAUUGUUUGAUAAAACUUUGAUUAGAGUCUGAC
rnacentral:lncRNA from 1 species